UACGGAGGGUGCAAGCGUUAUCCGGAUUCACUGGGUUUAAAGGGUGCGUAGGUGGGCUUGUAAGUCAGUGGUGAAAUCUCCGGGCUUAACCCGGAAACUGCCAUUGAUACUAUUUGUCUUGAAUACUGUGGAGGUCAGCGGAAUAUGUCAUGUAGCGGUGAAAUGCUUAGAUAUGACAUAGAACACCAAUUGCGAAGGCAGCUGGCUACACAAAUAUUGACACUGAGGCACGAAAGCGUGGGGAUCAAACAGG
rnacentral:rRNA from 1 species